GUCAGGAUGGCCGAGCGGUCUAAGGCGCCAGACUCAAGGUGAUGAUAACCUCCUCAGUUUAAAACUGAGUUUUCUCGGGCGUUCUGGUCCUCUCUGAGGGCGUGGGUUCGAAUCCCACUUCUGACA
rnacentral:tRNA from 1 species